GAUGAACGCUGGCGGCGUGCCUAAUACAUGCAAGUCGAGCGAACAGACGAGAGUGCUUGCACUCUCUGACGUUAGCGGCGGACGGGUGAGUAACACGUGGGUAACCUACCUAUAAGACUGGGAUAACUUCGGGGAACCGGAGCUAAUACCGGAUAAUAUUUAGCUUCGCAUGAAGCAAUAGUGAAAGACGGUUCUGCUGUCACUUAUAGAUGGACCCGCGGUGUAUUAGCUAGUUGGUGAGGUAACGGCUCACCAAGGCAACGAUACAUAGCCGACCUGAGAGGGUGAUCGGCCACACUGGGACUGAGACACGGCCCAGACUCCUACGGGAGGCAGCAGUAGGGAAUCUUCCGCAAUGGACGAAAGUCUGACGGAGCAAUGCCGCGUGAGUGAAGAAGGUUUUCGGAUCGUAAAACUCUGUUGUAAGGGAAGAACAAGUACGUUAGUAACUGAACGUACCUUGACGGUACCUUACCAGAAAGCCACGGCUAACUACGUG
rnacentral:rRNA from 1 species